CAGUAGCCGCGGUAAUACAGAGGGUGCGAGCGUUAAUCGGAUUUACUGGGCGUAAAGCGUGCGUAGGCGGCUUCUUAAGUCGGAUGUGAAAUCCCUGAGCUUAACUUAGGAAUUGCAUUCGAUACUGGGAAGCUAGAGUAUGGGAGAGGAUGGUAGAAUUCCAGGUGUAGCGGUGAAAUGCGUAGAGAUCUGGAGGAAUACCGAUGGCGAAGGCAGCCAUCUGGCCUAAUACUGACGCUGAGGUACGAAAGCAUGGGGAGCAAACAGGAUUAAAUACCCCAGUAGUCCCUGUCUCUUAUAC
rnacentral:rRNA from 1 species